rnacentral:rRNA from 1 species
UACGUAGGCAGCGAGCGUUGUCCGGAAUUACUGGGCGUAAAGAGUGUGUAGGCGGUGCUCUAAGUUCGGUGUGAAAUCUCCCGGCUUAACUGGGAGGGUGCGCCGGAAACUGGAGUGCUCGAACGUGGGAGAGGAAAGCGGAAUUCCUGGUGUAGCGGUGAAAUGCGUAGAUAUCAGGAGGAACACCUGCGGUGUAGACGGCUUUCUGGACCAUUGUUGACGCUGAGACACGAAAGCGUGGGUAGCAAACAGG